rnacentral:lncRNA from 1 species
AUGUCUGGAAGGCUGUGGUCCAAGGCCAUUUUUUGUUGGCUGUAAGUGUGGUCUCCAGAAUCAAAGAGAGCACACAACUGUUUUUAAAUCGAAGGUGUUUAUGCCUGAGAUGAAGCUGAAUUCUGUUUGGGCAAGAGAUUUGUGCUUAUGUAUACAAAGCAAAGAACAACACAGUGACUCCUGGUGGCAAACCAAACAAAACCAGAGUAAUCUGUGGAAAGAUAAUUUGCGCCCAUGGAAACAGACAUGCCAAAUUCCAAAGGAAUCUUCCUGCUGAGGCCGUUUGGACACAGAAUUCACGUGAUGUUGUACCCCUCAAGGAUUUAA